UUUGGGGUGUAAAAAUUCCUUCACAAAUGUGUUGAUGGCUGGACAUUGCAUCAUCCUAGAAAACUUGGAGGCCAGUGAGGACAAAAAUAAAAAGUUAUAAAACAUUUAAGAAUGUGGAUUUUUGGGUUAUUUUUGGCGCCCCCUAGAACCUAAACCAUGGGGUGCAGCAUCAUGAUUUGAAUAACUUUUAAUGGCCAUGGGGUGUAGAUUGGCCUGAGCAAAUGUGGUGCCGGUGGAACGAAAGCCUUCGGAGGAGUUAGCGAAAUUCCAAUGUGUGCGGAUCGGCAAAAAAUGCGGAAUAACCCUUUAACCGUACAUUUGACAGAUACGCGCGCAUUGACUUUUUCGUAGAUCUUAUUGAGAUACAUGUGUGUGUCAAUUUUUGUGUCAUUUUGCCAAAGCGUACAGGUGUUACACUCAACAAUGUGUAUUUUCACCUUAGGGGACAAGAAAAAAUGGACUUUUUUCUCCUGCCAUGGGGGGGCGCUCUUUUGGGGAGUAAAAAUUCCUUCACAAAUGUGUUGAUGGCUGGACAUUGCAUCAUCCUAGAAAACUUGGAGGCCAGUGAGGGCAAAAAUAAAAAGUUAUAAGACUUUUAAAUAUGUGGAUCUUAGGGUUAUCUUUGGCGCCCCCUAGAACCUAAACCGUGGGGUGCAGCGUCAUGAUUUGAAUAACUUUUAAUGGCCAUGGGGUGUAGAUUGGCCUGAGCAAAUGUGGUGCCGGUGGAACGAAAGCCUUCGGAGGAGUUAGCGAAAUUCCAAUGUGUGCGGAUCGGCAAAAAAUGCAAAAUAACCCUUUAACCGUACAUUUGACAGAUACGCCCGCAUUGACUUUUUUGUAGAUCUUAUUGAGAUACAUGUGUGUGUCAAUUUUUGUGUCAUUUUGACAAAGCGUACAGGCGUGACAGUGAAUAGUGUGAAUUUUCACCUUAGGGGGCGCUAUGGAGCCAUUUUGCAUUUUCUUGUUUGGGCGACUUCGGAAUAUCAAAUUUUUCACCAGGCCCGGUCGUCCUGCCAAAUUUCAUGAGUUUUCGCCAGUGGGAAGUGGGCCAUUUUCCAGUUCAAAGGGGAGGAAAAAUAAUAAUAACAAAAGAAGGAAACUACAGGAACAAGAGGGCUCUCGCAGCUGCUUAGCAGCUACGCUCGGGCCCUAAAGAAGGAAACUACAGGAACAAGAGGGCUCUCGCAGCUGCUUAGCAGCUACGCUCGGGCCCUAACUAGGGCCCCGGUGGGGCACUGUCGGGCCCGAGCCGCGUCGCGCCGCCCCCAGCGCGACCGCCUCCCCCUCCUGAUCGCAUCACACUCAAGGUCCAAAGAUGGUGUGCGCACUUGUCUGUGGUCAUUUCCCAUUAUAAUGAAUGGGAGGCGCAGUUUCUACCAAAACGGUCGCUGCAGACAAACUACAUGUCCUAUUUGAAAAAAGUGUGGAUCAUGAGUGAGGGCACAAACACAGCUAGGAUAUAUCCAAAUGGCAAGUUGCUCCUCCUUACGGUGUUGCCAGGAGAGCGAUGCGAUUGAGCCAUUGAGCGAUGGGCAGGGUUAACUGGACUUUUUCUCCUGCCUUGGGGGGGGGGGGGGGAUGUGGAUUCUUUUAAGAAUGUGGAUAUUUGGGUCAUCUUUGGCGCCCCCUAGAACGUAAACCAUGGGGUGCAGCGGCAUGAUUUUUACAACUUUGAAUGGCCAUGGGAUGUAGAUCGGCUUGAGCAAAUUUGGUGUCGGUGGAAAGAAAGCCUUAGGAGGAGUUAGCCACAUUCCAAUGUGUGCGAAUCGGCAAAAAAUGCGAAAUAGCCCUUUAACCGUACAUUUUACAGAUACGUGCCCAUUGACUUUUUCGUAGAUCUUAUUGAGAUACACGUGUGUAUCAAAUUUUGUGUCAUUUUGACAAAGCGUAUAGGCGUGACACUCAACAAUGUGUUUUUUCCCCUUAGGGGACAAGAAAAAAUGGACUUUUUUCUCCUGCCAUGGGGGGGCGCUCUUUUCGGGAGUAAAAAUUCCUUUACAAAUGUGUUGAUGGCUGGACAUUGCAUCAUCCUAGAAAACUUGGAGGCCAGUGAGGACAAAAAUAAAAAGUUAUAAGACUAUUAAGAAUGUGGAUUUUUGGGUUAUCUUUGGCGCCCCCUAGAACCUAAACCGUGGAGUGCAGCGUCAUGAUUUGUACAACUUUUAAUGGCCAUGGGGUGUAGAUUGGCCUGAGCAAAUUUGGUGGCGGUGGAACUAAAGCCUUCGGAGGAGUUAGCGAAAUUCCAAUGUGUGCGGAUCGGGAAAAAAUGCGAAAUAACCCUUUAACCGUACAUUUUACAGAUACGUGCCCAUUGACUUUUUCGUAGACCGUAUUGAGAUACACGUGUGUGUCAAUUUUUGUGUCAAUAUGACAAAGCGUACAGGCGUGACAGUCAAUAGUGUGAAUUUUCGCCUUAGGGGGCGCUAUGGAGCCAUUUUGCAUUUUAUUGUUUGGGCGACUUCAGAAUAUCGAAUUUUUCACCAGGCCCGGUCGUCCUGCCAAAUUUCAUGAGUUUUCGCCAGUGGGAAGUGGGCCAUUUUCCCCUUCAAAGGGGAGGAAAAAUAAGAAGAAAGAAAGAAAGAAAGAAGAAAGAAAAACCUAUACAGGAAUAAUAGGGCUCUACGCCCGGCUGCUCUGCAGCUGGCUCGGGCCCUAACUAGGGCCCCGGUGGGGCACUGUCGGGCCCGAGCCGCGUUGCGCCGCCCCCAGCGCGACCGCCUCCCCCUCCUGAUCGCGUCACACUCAAGGUCCAAAGAUGGUGUGCGCACUUGUCUGUGGUCAUUUCCCAUUAUAAUGAAUGGGAGGCGCAGUUUCUACCAAAACACUCGCUGCAGACAAACUACAUGUCCUAUUUGAAAAAAGUCUGGACCAUGAGUGAGGGCACAAACACAGCUAGGAUAUAUCCAAACGGCAAGUUGCUCCUCGUUACGGUGUUGCCGGGAGAGUGAUGCGAUUGAGCCAUUGAGUGAUGGGCAGGAAAAACUUGACUGUUUCUCCUGCCAUGGGGGUUUGGGGAUGGGGGGGGGAUGUGGAUUCUUUUAAGAAUGUGGAUAUUUGGGUCAUCUUUGGCGCCCCCUAGAACGUAAACCGUGGGGUGCAGCGUCAUGAUUUUUACAACUUUGAAUGGCCAUGGGGUGUAGAUUGGCCUGAGCAAAUUUGGUGUCAGUGGGACGAAAGCCUUAGGAGGAGUUAGCCACAUUCCAAUGUGUGCGAAUCGGCAAAAAAUGCAAAAUAGCCCUUUAACCGUACAUUUUACAGAUACGCGUGCAUUGACUUUUUCGUAGAUCUUAUUGAGAUACAUGUGUGUGUCAAAUUUUGUGUCAAUAUGACAAAGCGUACAGGCGUGACACUCAACAAUGUGUAUUUUCACCUUAGGGGACAAGAAAAAAUGGACUUUUUUCUCCUGCCAUGGGGGGGCGCUCUUUUGGGGAUUAAAAAUUCCUUCACAAAUGUGUUGAUGGCUGGACAUUGCAUCAUCCUAGAAAACUUGGAGGCCAGUGAGGGCAAAAAUAAAAAGUUAUAAGACUUUUAAAUAUGUGGAUUUUAGGGUUAUCUUUGGCGCCCCCUAGAACCUAAACCGUGGGGUGCAGCGUCAUGAUUUGAAUAACUUUUAAUGGCCAUGGGGUGUAGAUUGGCCUGAGCAAAUGUGGUGCCGGUGGAACGAAAGCCUUCGGAGGAGUUAGCGAAAUUCCAAUGUGUGCGGAUCGGCAAAAAAUGCGGAAUAACCCUUUAACCGUACAUUUGACAGAUACGCCCGCACUGACUUUUUUGUAGAUCUUAUUGAGAUACAUGUGUGUGUCAAUUUUUGUGUCAAUAUGACAAAGCGUAAAGGCGUGACAGUCAAUAGUGUGAAUUUUCACCUUAGGGGGCGCUAUGGAGCCAUUUUGCAUUUUCUUGUUUGGGCGACUUCGGAAUAUCAAAUUUUUCACCAGGCCCGGUCAUCCUGCCAAAUUUCAUGAGUUUUCGCCAGUGGGAAGUGGGCCAUUUUCCAGUUCAAAGGGGAGGAAAAAGAAGAAAGAAAGAAACAAAGAAAAACCACUUGGGGAAUAAUAGGGCUCUCGCAGCUGCUUAGCAGCUACGCUCGGGCCCUAACUAGGACCCCGUUGGGGCACUGGCGGGCCCGAGCUGUGUCGCAUCCCCCCCCCAACGCGCUGCCUCCCCGUCCCAUUUGUGUCCUCUGGCCAUCGCCCUCUCUGGUAACGCCCAUCACUGCAAAGACCCUUUUCCUUCAUCGGCGUUUGCUGUUCUUCCUUCCAGUGCGUGUUGCUUUCACUUACACUUGCCACAGCCAGCCUCGUGAGUGCCUAGCCUAUUGGAUAUCACUGUCACCUACACAGGACAGUCAUUACCUUUCUAUUAAUACUUUGUUUUUUAAUUUCACAUUAAUUUCCAUAUUGUAUAAACAACUGGAAAAAACUUGAGCCCCUGCCCCUGUAUAAUCAUGUGCACGUCUCUGUUCUAGCUGUAAGGUGAAUCUUCACUGCUCAUGUUCUCCUCAGAAGCAGUCACCUCACUCCCCUCAGGUUACUGUACACAUGCACCAACUGCCUGCUUCAGGUUUGGAUGGAGCUUCAUGGUUGUCUUUUGGAGAAAUGACCAGUCAAGUUGUGUUUGAAAUUUGAUUUUUUUCAGGGGCAAAAGGAGCCUCUGCAUUCUUGUCAAAUAUGUAAAUAGCAUGUUUUUGCAGGUGCUAAAAACCAGACUCUGAGUGUGUGUGUGUGCGUGUGUGUGUGUGUCUGUGUGUGUGUGUGUGUGUGUGUGUGUGUGUGUGUGCGUUCAAGUCACAUGACAUAUUUAACCGGAUGUAGCUGCAAGACGGAGCCUCGUUGACUCUCCGUUUCAACUUAUCUCAAAAGUGAGGACCUCAACCUAUAUACCAGUUUUUAAAUUGUGUUGAUAGGCCAAAUAAAACCAGAGUUAUGAUAAAUUAUGUCCGCGAUACUUGUUUUCUGCUUAUUUUGAUCACGUUCGGCGCUCGAUCGCGCUGUAUGAGACAGGAAAACAUAGCAUGCAGACAUUAGCGACAGGUCUUACAGGCGGAAAAGGCUUGCCAAAGGAAAAAAAAAACACACCACAACAUCUCUCCUAUUGGUGGAAAACUUCACCACAACAACCAAUCCAAAAUUAUAUGGUGACUGAUUGACAAGGGGCGGGCGCUUACGUUCUUCCUGCAAUAUGAGAAGGGAGGGAGGGACUCUCAGCAGGGAUGCAGUCUGGGACACGUAGUUGCAAACCUAGCGACUUUGUUGUUAGAUUCAAUGACUUUUCAGACCCCCUAACGACGUUUUUUUAGAAAGAAAGUGACUUUUAUCGACUUCUUCUGGAGUUUAGAGACUCUGACAUGAAGCAGGCUUUCCUUACUGAGGAGUUAGCAAUGCUGCUAAGGGUGCAGAGCCACACAUGCGCUCCGAGCUCUGCAUGGGAGACUGAAGCUGACAGAGCUGCAGCAGUUAGCAGGUUUCACCCUCAGAGACCACCAGGGGUUCAUGUUGAGGCAUUUUCAGUUUUUUUUUUUUUUUUGCCAUAGACACUGUCAGCACAAUCUGCAGUUACACUAACAAAAAUGCUGCAAAAAACAAAGAAUUAUGGAAAAAUUACACAUGGACUGACAUAGAGGAGGAUCUACACAAGUUUUUUACAUCAUGUUUUACAUCAUGCAUCAUUUACAUCAUGUUUUUUUGUAGUGGCAUAAAUAAAAAGUGACAUUUGUGAGACUAUACAGUGUUUUGUAAAUAAUUUUACAAAGAACACCUGGGCCAUUGCCUGCAUUUUGAUGUAAAUAGAGGUAAAUUACUAUGUUCUUUGUUAAAAAUUUGCAUAUGUUUUGAAGUUUACAAUUUUUAUUUGAAGUUUAAGUUUUAAAAACAGUUCAUCACACAUAUUUGUGGUUUUCACAGUAAAAACGUUACUUUUUUCCACUCGGAUUUUAUGUUUUGUGUGUGAAUUUGGGUCCAAUGUGUAAAUAUAGUAUGUCAAAAUGAUAAAAUAACUGUAAAUUGACACAGGUGAGGUUGUGCUGAAAAAAAUGAUACCAGGCAAGGCAAGGUAAAAAUUUUGUAAGAGGAAAUAUAAAGGUAAAAUCUAAAGUAGUCAAAAACGGCCAAUAGUGACUCACAGACUCCACAGACAAGUCCCUUUGGCGCCACUCAGUGGGCAAAACUACUUUGUCUACUGUAAUGUAUAUUUGGGUCAUCUUUGGCGCCCCCUAAAACGUAAACCGUGGGGUGCAGCGUCAUGAUUUUUACAACUUUGAAUGGCCAUGGAGUGUAGAUUGGUCUGAGCAAAUUUGGUGUCAGUGGGACGAAAGCCUUAGGAGGAGUUAGCGAAAUUCCAAUGUGUGCGAAUCGGCAAAAAAUUCAAAAUAGCCCUUUUACCGUACAUUAUACAGAUACACGCUCUUUGACUUUUUCGUAGAUCUAAUUGAGAUACACAUGACUGUCAAUUUUUGUGUCAAUAUGACAAAGCGUACAGGCGUGACACUCAACAAUGUGUAUUUUCACCUUAGGCGACAAGAAAAAAUUGACUUUUUUCUCCUGCCAUGGGGGGGCGCUCUUUUGGGGAGUAAAAAUUUCUUCAUAAAUGUGUUGAUGGCUGGACAUUGCAUCAUCCUAAAAAACUUGGAGGCCAGUGAGGACAAAAAUAAAAAGUUAUAAGACUUUGAAAUAUGUGGAUUUUAGGGUUAUAUUUGGCGCCCCCUAGAACCUAAACCGUGGGGUGCAGCAAGAUGAUUUGUACAACUUUUAAUGGCCAUGGGGUGUAGAUUGGCCUGAGCAAAUUUGGUGCCGGUGGAAAGAUAGCCUUCGGAGGAGUUAGCGAAAUUCCAAUGUGUGCGAAUCGGCAAAAAAUGCAAAAUAGCCCUUUAACCGUACAUUUGACAGAUACAUGCCCUUUGACUUUUUCGUAGAUCUUAUUAAGAUACACGUGAUUGUCAAAUUUUGUGUCAAUAUGACAAAGCAUACAGGCGUGACACUCGACAAUGUGUAUUUUCACCUUAGGAGACAAGAAAAAAUGGACCUUUUUCUCCUGCCAUUGGGGGGCGCUCUUUUGGGGAGUAAAAAUUCCUUCACAAAUGUGUUGAUGGCUGGACAUUGCUUCAUCCUAGAAAACUUGGAGGCCAGUGAGGACAAAAGACAAAAGUUAUAAGACUUUUAAGAAUGUGGAUUUUUGGGUUAUCUUUGGCGCCCCCUAGAACGUAAACCGUGGGGUGCAGCGUCAUGAUUUGUACAACUUUUAAUGGCCAUGGGGGGUAGAUUGGCCUGCGCAAAUGUGGUGCCGGUCGAACGAAAGCCUUCGGAGGAGUUAGCGAAAUUCCAAUGUGUGCGAAUCGGCAAAAAAUGCAAAAUAGCCCUUUAACCGUACAUUUGACAGAUACGCCCACACUGACUUUUUUGUAGAUCUUAUUGAGAUACAUGUGUGUGUCAAUUUUUGUGUCAAUAUGACAAAGCAUACAGGCGUCAUGUGAAUUUUCACCUUAGGGGGCGCUAUGGAGCCAUUUUGCAUUUUAUUGUUUGGGCGACUUCAGAAUAUCGAAUUUUUCACCAGGCCCGGUCGUCCUGCCAAAUUUCCUGAGUUUUCGCCAGUGGGAAAUGGGCCAUUUUCCAGUUUAAAGCGGAGGAAAAAUAACUAGGACCCCGUUGGGGCACUGGCGGGCCCGAGCUGUGUCGCGUCCCCCCCCCAACGCGCUGCCUCCCCGUCCCAUUUGUGUCCUCUGGCCAUCGCCCUCUUUGGUAACGCCCAUCACUGCAAAGACCCUUUUCCUUCAUCGGCGUUUGCUGUUCUUCCUGCCAGUGCGUGUUGCUUUCACUUACACUUGCCACAGCCAGCCUCGUGAGUGCCUAGCCUAUUGGAUAUCACUGUCACCUACACAGGACAGUCAUUACCUUUCUAUUAAUACUUUGUUUUUUAAUUUCACAUUAAUUUCCAAAUUGUAUAAACGACUGGAAAAAACUUGAGCCCCUGCCCCUGUAUAAUCAUGUGCACGUCUCUGUUCUAGCUCUAAGGUAAAUCUUCACUGCUCAUGUUCUCCCCAGAAGCAGUCACCUCACUCCCCUCAGGUUACUGUACACAUGCACCAACUGCCUGCUUCAGGUUUGGAUGGAGCUUCAUGGUUGUCUUUUGGAGAAAUGACCAGUCAAGUUGUGUUUGAAAUUUGAUUUUUUUCAGGGGCAAAAGGAGCCUCUGCAUUCUUGUCAAAUAUGUAAAUAGCAUGUUUUUGCAGGUGCUACAAACCAGACUCUGAGUGUGUGUGUGUGCGUGUGUGUGUGUCUGUGUGUGUGUGUGUGUGUGCGUUCAAGUCACAUGACAUAUUUAACCGGAUGUAGCUGCAAGACGGAGCCUCGUUGACUCUCCGUUUCAAUUUAUCUCAAAAGUGAGGACCUCAACCUAUAUACCAGUUUUUAAAUUGUGUUGAUAGGCCAAAUAAAACCAGAGUUAUGAUAAAUUAUGUCCGCGAUACUUGUUUUCUGCUUAUUUUGAUCACGUUCGGCGCUCGAUCGCGCUGUAUGAGACAGGAAAACAUAGCAUGCAGACAUUAGCGACAGGUCUUACAGGCGGAAAAGGCUUGCCAAAGGAAAAAAAAUACACACCACAACAUCUCUCCUAUUGGUGGAAAACUUCACCACAACAACCAAUCCAAAAUUAUAUGGUGACUGAUUGACAAGGGGCGGGAACUUACGUUCUUCCUGCAAUAUGAGAAGGGAGGGAGGGACUCUCAGCAGGGAUGCAGUCUGGGACACGUAGUUGCAAACCUAGCGACUUUGUUGUUAGAUUCAAUGACUUUUCAGACCCCCUAACGACUUUUUUUUAGAAAGAAAGUGACUUUUAUCGACUUCUUCUGGAGUUUAGAGACUCUGACAUGAAGCAGGCUUUCCUUACUGAGGAGUUAGCAACGCUGCUAAGGGUGCAGAGCCACACAUGCGCUCCGAGCUCUGCAUGGGAGACUGAAGCUGACAGAGCUGCAGCAGUUAGCAGGUUUCACCUUCAGAGACCACCAGGGGUUCAUGUUGAGGCAUUUUCAGUUUUUUUUUUUUUUUUUUGCCAUAGACACUGUCAGCACAAUCUGCAGUUACACUAACAAAAAUGCUGCAAAAAACAAAGAAUUAUGGAAAAAUUACACAUGGACUAACAUAGAGGAGGAUCUACACAAGUUUUUUACAUCAUGUUUUACAUCAUGCAUCAUUUACAUCAUGUUUUUUUGUAGUGGCAUAAAUAAAAAGUGACAUUUGUGAGACUAUACAGUGUUUUGUAAAUAAUUUUACAAAGAACACCUGGGCCAUUGCCUGCAUUUUGAUGUCAAUAGAGGUAAAUUACUAUGUUCUUAGUUAAAAAUUUGCAUAUGUUUUGAAGUUUACAAUUUUUAUUUGAAGUUUAAGUUUUAAAAACAGUUCAUCACACAUAUUUGUGGUUUUCACAGUAAAAAUGUUACUUUUUUCCACUCGGAUUUUAUGUUUUGUGUGUGAAUUUGGGUCCAAUGUGUAAAUAUAGUAUGUCAAAAUGGUAAAAUAACUGUAAAUUGACACAGGUGAGGUUGUGCUGAAAAAAAUGAUACCAGGCAAGGCAAGGUAAAAAUUUUGUAAGAGGAAAUAUAAAGGUAAAAUCUAAAGUAGUCAAAAACGGCCAAUAGUGACUCACAGACUCCACAGACAAGUCCCUUUGGCGCCACUCAGUGGGCAAAACUACUUUGUCUACUGUAAUGUAUAUUUGGGUCAUCUUUGGCACCCCCUAAAACGUAAACCGUGGGGUGCAGCGUCAUGAUUUUUACAACUUUGAAUGGCCAUGGAGUGUAGAUUGGCCUGAGCAAAUUUGGUGUCAGUGGGACGAAAGCCUUAGGAGGAGUUAGCGAAAUUCCAAUGUGUGCGAAUCGGCAAAAAAUGCAAAAUAGCCCUUUUACCGUACAUUAUACAGAUACGCGCUCUUUGACUUUUUCGUAGAUCUAAUUGAGAUACACAUGAUUGUCAAUUUUUGUGUCAUUUUGACAAAGCGUACAGGCGUGACAGUCAACAAUGUGUAUUUUCACCUUAGGGGACAAGAAAAAAUGGACUUUUUUCUCCUGCCAUGGGGGGCGCUCUUUUGGGGAGUAAAAAUUCCUUCACAAAUGUGUUGAUGGCUGGACAUUGCAUCAUCCUAGAAAACUUGGAGGCCAGUGAGGACAAAAAUAAAAAGUUAUAAGACUUUUAAAAAUGUGGAUUUUAGGGUUAUCUUUGGCGCCCCCUAGAACCUAAACCGUGGGGUGCAGCGUCAUGAUUUUGAUAACUUUUAAUGGCCAUGGGGUGUAGAUUGGCCUGAGCAAAUGUGGUGCCGGUGGAACGAAAGCCUUCGGAGGAGUUAGCGAAAUUCCAAUGUGUGCGGAUCGGCAAAAAAUGCGAAAUAACCCUUUAACCGUACAUUUGACAGAUACGCGCCCAUUGACUUUUUCGUAGAUCUUAUUGAGUUACAUGUGUGUGUCAAUUUUUGUGUCAUUUUGACAAAGCGUAUAGGCGUGACACUCAACAAUGUGUAUUUUCACCUUAGGGGACAAGAAAAAAUGGACUUUUUUCUCCUGCCAUGGGGGGGCGCUCUUUUGGGGAGUAAAAAUUCCUUCACAAAUGUGUUGAUGGCUGGACAUUGCAUCAUCCUAGAAAACUUGGAGGCCAGUGAGGACAAAAAUAAAAAGUUAUAAGACUUUUAAAUAUGUGGAUUUUAGGGUUAUCUUUGGCGCCCCCUAGAACCUAAACCUUGGGGUGCAGCAUCAUGAUUUUGAUAACUUUUAAUGGCCACGGGGUGUAGAUUGGCCUGAGCAAAUGUGGUGCCGGUGGAACGAAAGCCUUCGGAGGAGUUAGCGAAAUUCCAAUGUGUGCAGAUCGGCAAAAAAUGCGAAAUAACCCUUUAACCGUAAUUUUGACAGAUACGGCCGCACUGACUUUUUUGUAGAUCUUAUUGAGAUACAUGUGUGUGUCAAUUUUUGUGUCAUUUUGACAAAGCGUACAGUCGUGACAGUGAAUAGUGUGAAUUUUCACCUUAGGGGGCGCUAUGGAGCCAUUUUGCAUUUUAUUGUUUUGGCGACUUCAGAAUAUCAAAUUUUUCACCAGGCCCGGUCGUCCUGCCAAAUUUCAUGAGUUUUCGCCAGUGGGAAGUGGGCCAUUUUCCAGUUCAAAGGGGAGGAAAAAGAAAAAACUAGGGCCCCGUUGGGGCACUGGCGGGCCCGAGCCGUGUCACGCCGCCCCCAGCGCGACCGCCUCCCCCACCCGAUCGCGUCACACUCAAGGUCCAAAGAUGGUGUGCGCACUUGUUUGUGGUCAUUUACCAUUAUAAUGAACGGGAGGCGCAGUUUCUACCAAAACGCUCGCUGCAGAAAAACUCCAUGUCCUAUUUGAAAAAAGUCUGGACCAUGAGUGAGGGCACAAAUACAGCUAAGAUAUAUCCAAAUGGCAAGUUGCUCCUCCUUUCGCUUUUGCCGAGAGAGCAGUGCGUUUGAGCCAUUGAAUGAUGAACAGGAAAAACUUGACUUUAUUCUCCUGCCAUGGGGGGCGCUCUUUUAAAGAGAAAAAACUCCUUCACAAAUGUGUUGAUGGCUGGACAUUGCAUCAUCCUAGAAAACAUGGAGGCCAGUGAGGACAAAAAUAAAAAGUUAUAAGACUUUUAAAUAUGUGGAUUUUAGGGUUAUCUUUGGCGCCCCCUAGAACCUAAACCGUGGGGUGCAGCGUCAUGAUUUGAAUAACUUUUAAUGGCCAUGGGGUGUAGAUUGGCCUGAGCAAAUGUGGUGCCGGUGGAACGAAAGCCUUCGGAGGAAUUAGCGAAAUUCCAAUGUGUGCGAAUCUGCAAAAAAUGCGAAAUAACCCUUUAACCGUACAUUUUACAGAUACGAGCCCAUUGACUUUUUCGAAGAUCUUAUUGAAAUACACGUGUAUGUAAAAUUUUGUGUCAAUACGACAAAACAUACAGGCGUAGCACUCAACAAUGUGUAUUUUCACCUUAGUGGACAAGAAAAAAUUGACUUUUUUCUCCUGCCAUGGGGGGGCGCUCUUUUGCCGAGUAAAAAUUCCUUCACAAAUGUGUUGAUGGCUGGACAUUGCAUCAUCCUAGAAAACUUGGAGGCCAGUGAGGGCAAAAAUAAAAAGUUAUAAGACUUUUAAAUAUGUGGAUCUUAGGGUUAUCUUUGGCUCCCCCUAGAACCUAAACCGUGGGGUGCAGCGUCAUGAUUUGAAUAACUUUUAAUGGCCAUGGGGUGUAGAUUGGCCUAAGCAAAUGUGGUGCCGGUGGAACGAAAGC
rnacentral:lncRNA from 1 species